GUCCUUAGCAACCAGCCUUGGUUCCCAGCGGCUCAGAGCGCAGCGAACUCAUCUGAAAGACUUUUAUAAAUGACAGUGCAUCAACAGUUGAGCAUGUGUUAACGUGGAGUGGUAUAUUAAUAGAAAGAAGCAUAAUAUAGCACAAAGCACUCAGUCAAGCUUCUAGUCCAGAAAGCGUAUGAUUUUAUCUGAAGUAAUUUGGAAUAAAUUUACUUGAAGGCAAGGUAUUCUAUAUGAGAAGUUAGGCCAAAUGUUGAUUUGGACAAAAGUGAAUGUAGUAAAAUGGGAAAAAAAUCCUGAAGGCUGGCAUCAAAAUAACUCUUAAACAAUGAACUAUUACAGAGAUUUCCACUUGAGUCAUGACUCAUGCCAUCUUCCCCUCAAGUGCAACAUAAGAAUUUAUGAUUUAUGAAUAUGCCUGUUAACAAAUCACCUAUGAUUAAUACAUGUGGAGGCAUAUCUUCCCCUUAUCAUGAAGAGCUCUGGAAAUUAAAUUUUCAACAUUUAAGUGGAGAAAGGGGUCAUAAAUCAAG
rnacentral:lncRNA from 1 species